CAAUGCCUGAGGUAUCUGAUGCCCCGACUGAUUAUUUCUGUGUCUGGGCAUCUCGUUUAGAGGGCAUAAACUAAAUUGUAAAACAGGUCUUGCGACACAGAUUGCCUCACCCUUAUGAGCUUUCUGUUACUUUAACCCUGUUCACAUUG